UACGUAGGGUGCGGGCGUUAAUCGGAAUUACUGGGCGUAAAGCGUGCGCAGGCGGCCUCUUAAGUCAGAUGUGAAAUCCCCGGGCUUAACCUGGGAAUUGCGUUUCUAACUGGCAGGCUUGAGUGUGGCAGAGGGGGGUGGAAUUCCACGUGUAGCAGUGAAAUGCGUAGAUAUCGGGAGGAACACCAGUGGCGAAGGCGACUACCUGGCCCACUCUUGACGCUGAGGCGCGAAAGCUAGGGGAGCAAACGGG
rnacentral:rRNA from 1 species